AGAUGUAGUCUGUCUUUUCUGAGAGCUUCUAAGUUUGAGUCCAGUCAAAAAUGAGAUUUUCAGGGUCAGGCCUGGUUAGUACUUGGUUGGGAGACCACCUAGGAAUACCAGGUGCUGUAAGUG
ensembl:rRNA 5S_rRNA 5S ribosomal RNA